UAGGAGAAAUUUUUUGCAAUCUAUCCAUCUAACAAAGGUCUAAUAGCCAGAAUCUACAAGAAGCUUAAACAAAUUUACAAGUAAGAAACAACCCCAGCCCGAAGUGUUUACUUUGAAAAAAUUAGAGUGUUCAAAGCAGGCCCAAGCCACCUGGAUACCACAGUUAGGAAUAAUGGAAUAGGACCACAGUUCUAUUUUGUGGGUUUUCGGAACUGAGGCCAUGAAAAACCACCUUGAACUUAA
rnacentral:ncRNA from 1 species